ACGGGUGAGUAAUGUCUGGGAAACUGCCCGAUGGAGGGGGAUAACUACUGGAAACGGUAGCUAAUACCGCAUAACGUCGCAAGACCAAAGUGGGGGACCUUCGGGCCUCACACCAUCGGAUGUGCCCAGAUGGGAUUAGCUAGUAGGUGGGGUAAUGGCUCGCCUAGGCGACGAUCCCUAGCUGGUCUGAGAGGAUGACCAGCCACACUGGAACUGAGACACGGUCCAGACUCCUACGGGAGGCAGCAGUGGGGAAUAUUGCACAAUGGGCGCAAGCCUGAUGCAGCCAUGCCGCGUGUAUGAAGAAGGCCUUCGGGUUGUAAAGUACUUUCAGCGGGGAGGAAGGCGGUGGAGUUAAUAGCUUCACCGAUUGACGUUACCCGCAGAAGAAGCACCGGCUAACUCCGUGCCAGCAGCCGCGGUAAUACGGAGGGUGCAAGCGUUAAUCGGAAUUACUGGGCGUAAAGCGCACGCAGGCGGUCUGUCAAGUCGGAAGUGAAAUCCCCGGGCUUAACCUGGGAACUGCAUUCGAAACUGGCAGGCUAGAGUCUUGUAGAGGGGGGUAGAAUUCCAGGUGUAGCGG
rnacentral:rRNA from 1 species